ensembl:ncRNA mir-1011 mir-1011 stem loop
GUGAGUUUUUGAGCCAGGAAUAUAGUUCUUAUUAUUGGUUCAAAUCGCUCGCAG